ACCGAAGUGGUGGAAAUUGGUAGACACACUACCUUGAGGUGGUAGCAUCCCAUAUUAUUUGGAUAUACGGGUUCAAAUCCCGUCUUCGGUA
rnacentral:tRNA from 1 species